UAGAGAAUCCUAGAAACGUUUGCCAAGG
rnacentral:piRNA from 1 species